rnacentral:rRNA from 1 species
GUGGCGGAAGGGUUAGUAAUACAUAGAUAAUCUGCCCUCAACUUGGGAAUAACGGUUGGAAACGAUCGCUAAUACCGAAUGUAGUGUAUUUAGGCAUCUAAUAUAUAUUAAAGAAGGGGAUCUUCGGACCUUUCGGUUGAGGAAGAGUUUAUGCGAUAUCAGCUUGUUGGUGGGGUAAAGGCCUACCAAGGCUAUGACGUCUAGGCGGAUUGAGAGAUUGACCGCCAACACUGGGACUGAGACACUGCCCAGACUCCUACGGGAGGCUGCAGUCGAGAAUCUUUCGCAAUGGACGAAAGUCUGACGAAGCGACGCCGCGUGUGUGAUGAAGGCCUUAGGGUUGUAAAGCACUUUCGCCUGGGAAUAAGAGAGAUUGGCUAAUAUCCAAUCAAUUUGAGCGUACCAGGUAAAGAAGCACCGGCUAACUCCGUGCCAGCAGCUGCGGUAAUACGGAGGGUGCUAGCGUUAAUCGGAUUUAUUGGGCGUAAAGGGCGUGUAGGCGGAAAGGAAAGUUAGAUGUUAAAUUUUGGGGCUCAACCCCAAGUCAGCAUUUAAAACUAUCUUUCUAGAGGAUAGAUGGAGAAAAGGGAAUUCCACGUGUAGCGGUGAAAUGCGUAGAUAUGUGGAAGAACACCAGUGGCGAAGGCGCUUUUCUAAUUUAUACCUGACGCUAAGGCGCGAAAGCAAGGGGAGCAAACAGGAUUAGAUACCCUGGUAGUCCUUGCCGUAAACGAUGCAUACUUGAUGUGGAUGGUCUCAACCCCAUCCGUGUCGGAGCUAACGUGUUAAGUAUGCCGCCUGAGGAGUACACUCGCAAGGGUGAAACUCAAAAGAAUUGACGGGGGCCCGCACAAGCAGUGGAGCAUGUGGUUUAAUUCGAUGCAACGCGAAGAACCUUACCUGGACUUGACAUGUAUUUGACAGCUGUAGAAAUAUGGUCUUCCGCAAGGACAAAUACACAGGU